CGGGGCUCGCCCUUCCGGCCCCGGCGGCGGCGGGCCCGCGGGCACGGGCGGCGUGACGCGGGACCUCGUGUGGAUGGGCGAGCGGGGUUUCUGAUCUGCCCUCUCUGUGGAGAGGGCUGAAUACAAACUUUAGAACAGAAUUCAGCAAAGUGGCUGAGGCGAGUCUAUCAAGUUGGUGUAUUUAUCUUCAAUGAUACUGCAUUGGAGCAGAGGGAAGAGAAUACGCAGUUAAAAGGGAUCUGGAUAUCAAGUGAUCCAAAUCAUCUGGCAAAAAGAAGUGCAUAGUUUUGAAAUUAGCUCCCACUGCUAAUGGGAAAGGUUGAAAUAUUGCAAGUGGUUCUUUUAUUAUCUUCCAGGUUUUGGCUACAUACCCUGAUACUCCUUGAACAACUCCAAAAACUGGAAGAGUUGUGUCUUUCUCCCAUACAAUGAAUUCUAACAGAGAAAAGUUUUGAACAAUACUGCCUUCCUUCAAGCCAGGAUAGAAUUAUGUGGAAUUCAGUAUCUCUCUCCAUUUUAUGCCUAGAGAUUUCAUUUUUACAACUGUGUUUAAAAAUAUUGUAUUUUUUAAAAAUAAAAAAGUUAAUAUAUAGCA